GAUGAACGCUGGCGGCGUGCCUAAUACAUGCAAGUCGAGCGAACGGACGAGAAGCUUGCUUCUCUGAUGUUAGCGGCGGACGGGUGAGUAACACGUGGAUAACCUACCUAUAAGACUGGGAUAACUUCGGGAAACCGGAGCUAAUACCAGAUAAUAUUUUGAACCGCAUGGUUCAAAAGUGAAAGACGGUCUUGCUGCCACUUAUAGAUGGAUCCGCGCUGCAUUAGCUAGUUGGUAAGGUAACGGCUUACCAAGGCAACGAUGCAUAGCCGACCUGAGAGGGUGAUCGGCCACACUGGAACUGAGACACGGUCCAGACUCCUACGGGAGGCAGCAGUAGGGAAUCUUCCGCAAUGGGCGAAAGCCUGACGGAGCAACGCCGCGUGAGUGAUGAAGGUCUUCGGAUCGUAAAACUCUGUUAUUAGGGAAGAACAUAUGUGUAAGUAACUGUGCACAUCUUGACGGUACCUAAUCAGAAAGCCACGGCUAACUACGUG
rnacentral:rRNA from 1 species